UUUGUACUUCUACAAUCUACA
ensembl:piRNA 21ur-10001 ncRNA